AUAAUAAUCUUAUACGGCCUUGGUUUUGCAACUAGCUCUUGAGUUUGAGGUUUGCUCUCAUAAACUAUGUGCACAAGCAAAUUAUUCUCUCGAAAUAAAACACAAUAAGAACGCGUCUCCGCUGGAACUCGGCGGGGUUGCCGCCAUUGCAUCUCUUGCGUCGCGUGCCCUCCUCGAGGGAGAGGGAGAGGGGGAAAAUAAUAAUCUUAUACGGCCUUGGUUUUGCAACUAGCUCUUGAGUUUGAGGUUUGCUCUCAUAAACUAUGUGCACAAGCACAUUAUUCUCUCGAAAUAAAACACAAUAAGAACGCGUCUCCGCUGGAACUCGGCGGGGUUGCCGCCACUGCAUCUCUUGCGUCGCGUGCCCUCCUCGAGGGAGAGGGAGAGGGGGAAAAUAAUAAUCUUAUACGGCCUUGGU
rnacentral:lncRNA from 1 species